CCCAGACUCCUACGGGAGGCAGCAGUGGGGGAUAUUGCACAAUGGGGGGAACCCUGAUGCAGCGACGCCGCGUGGGUGAAGGAGCGUUUCGGCGCGUAAAGCCCUAUCGGCAGGGAAGAAGGAGGACGGUACCUGACUAAGAAGCCCCGGCUAACUACGUGCCAGCAGCCGCGGUAAUACGUAGGGGGCAAGCGUUAUCCGGAUUUACUGGGUGUAAAGGGGGCGCAGACGGCAGCGCAAGCCAGGAGUGAAAGCCCGGGGCCCAACCCCGGGACUGCUCUUGGAACUGCGCGGCUGGAGUGCAGGAGGGGCAGGCGGAAUUCCUGGUGUAGCGGUGAAAUGCGUAGAUAUCAGGAGGAACACCGGUGGCGAAGGCGGCCUGCUGGACUGCGACUGACGUUGAGGCCCGAAAGCGUGGGGAGCAAACAGGAGUAGAUACCCUAGUAAU
rnacentral:rRNA from 1 species